AAAUACUCCUGACUGACCGAUAGUGAACCAGUACCGUGAGGGAAAGGCGAAAAGAACCCCGGCGAGGGGAGUGAAAAAGAACCUGAAACCGUGUACGUACAAGCAGUGGGAGCACCCUUUGGGGUGUGACUGCGUACCUUUUGUAUAAUGGGUCAGCGACUUAUAUUCUGUAGCAAGGUUAACCGAAUAGGGGAGCCGGAGGGAAACCGAGUCUUAAUUGGGCGUUAAGUUGCAGGGUAUAGACCCGAAACCCGGUGAUCUAGCCAUGGGCAGGUUGAAGGUUGGGUAACACUAACUGGAGGACCGAACCGACUAAUGUUGAAAAAUUAGCGGAUGACCUGUGGCUGGGGGUGAAAGGCCAAUCAAACCGGGAGAUAGCUGGUUCUCCCCGAAAGCUAUUUAGGUAGCGCCUCGUGAAUUCAUCUCCGGGGGUAGAGCACUGUUUCGGCUAGGGGGCCAUCCCGGCUUACCAACCCGAUGCAAACUGCGAAUACCGGAGAAUGUUAUCACGGGAGACACACGGCGGGUGCUAACGUCCGUCGUGAAGAGGGAAACAACCCAGACCGCCAGCUAAGGUCCCAAAGUCAUGGUUAAGUGGGAAACGAUGUGGGAAGGCCCAGACAGCCAGGAUGUUGGCUUAGAAGCAGCCAUCAUUUAAAGAAAGCGUAAUAGCUCACUGGUCGAGUCGGCCUGCGCGGAAGAUGUAACGGGGCUAAACCAUGCACCGAAGCUGCGGCAGCGACGUUUAUGCGUUGUUGGGUAGGGGAGCGUUCUGUAAGCCUGCGAAGGUGGCCUGUGAGGGUUGCUGGAGGUAUCAGAAGUGCGAAUGCUGACAUAAGUAACGAUAAAGCGGGUGAAAAGCCCGCUCGCCGGAA
rnacentral:rRNA from 1 species